rnacentral:siRNA from 1 species
UUUGUGUUGUGAAACGGAUGG